AUACGAGGGGAGCAAGCGUUGUCCGGAUUUAUUGGGCGUAAAGAGUUCGUAGGCUGAUUUAUAAGUCGAAAUUGAAAUCCAAUGGCUUAACCAUUGACACGGUUUCGAUACUGUAAAUCUUGAAUUAUGCAGAGGUAAGUGGAAUUCCUGGUGUAGCGGUGAAAUGCGUAGAUAUCAGGAGGAACACCAAAGGCGAAGGCAACUUACUGGGCAUCAAUUGACGCUGAGGAACGAAAGCGUGGGUAGCAAACAGGAUUAGAGACCCUGGUAGUCCACGCCGUAAACGAUGAGUACUUGGUGGUGGAAGAUUCGACCCUUUCACUGUCGGAGUUAACGCGUUAAGUACUCCGCCUGGGGACUACGGCCGCAAGGCUGAAACUCAAAGGAAUUGACGGGGACCCGCACAAGCGGUGGAUUAUGUGGUUUAAUUCGAUGCAACGCGAAGAACCUUACCUGGAUUUGACAUGUUCGUCGCGAGACUAAGAGAUUAGUCUUUUCAGUUCGGCUGGACGAAACACAGGUGCUGC
rnacentral:rRNA from 1 species